rnacentral:sRNA from 1 species
UCGAGAAAGUUGUCCGCUUGUCCUUGUC